rfam:Thermodesulfatator indicus DSM 15286, complete genome.
GGGGGCGAAAUGGGUUCGACGGAGGUGCCUAGGGCUGAACAGCGUGCCGAGGUGCCCACCGCCUCGUAAAAAAGGUGGGGCAAACACAAGUGCCGACGAAUAUAACUACGCAAUGGCUGCUUAAUAUAACAGCAGCCCGCCCUGAAUCCAGCCUCUGCCCGUGGGCGGUUCAGGGCGUCAGCUAGCGGGCUGGCCUAGAAGGUGUGCCUGCCACCUUCUAGGCGAGAUUUCUGCAGGCUAGGCUGGAGAAGGCCAGCCUGGGGAGCCUUCCCAGCCGAAAGUCACGGCCCAGGCUACGCACGUAGAAGUUCAGUCUGAAACACCUCCGGACGCGGGUUCGAUUCCCGCCGCCUCCACCA